AUUGAACGCUGGCGGCAGGCCUAACACAUGCAAGUCGAGCGGCAGCGGGAAAGUAGCUUGCUACUUUUGCCGGCGAGCGGCGGACGGGUGAGUAAUGCCUGGGAAAUUGCCCAGUCGAGGGGGAUAACAGUUGGAAACGACUGCUAAUACCGCAUACGCCCUACGGGGGAAAGCAGGGGACCUUCGGGACUUGCGCGUUUGGAUAUGCCCAGGUGGGAUUAGCUAGUUGGGGAGGUAAUGGCUCACCAAGGCGACGAUCCCUAGCUGGUCUGAGAGGAUGAUCAGCCACACUGGAACUGAGACACGGUCCAGACUCCUACGGGAGGCAGCAGUGGGGAAUAUUGCACAAUGGGGGAAACCCUGAUGCAGCCAUGCCGCGUGUGUGAAGAAGGCCUUCGGGUUGUAAAGCACUUUCAGCGAGGAGGAAAGGUUGAUGCCUAAUACGUAUCAACUGUGACGUUACUCGCAGAAGAAGCACCGGCUAACUCCGUGCCAGCCGCCGCCGUAACAC
rnacentral:rRNA from 1 species